rnacentral:rRNA from 1 species
UGAGUGCGAGCUGCUACGGCAGCGAAGUUGGUGAUGUCAUGCUUCCAAGAAAAGCCCUAUACCCGUUAAGGCAUCAUGGCCUGUACCCGAAACCGACACAGGUGGGGUGGUAGAGAAUACCGAGGGGCGCGAGGUAACUCUCUCUAAGGAACUCGGCAAAAUGGCCCCGUAACUUCGGGAGAAGGGGUGCCACCGCAAGGUGGUCGCAGUGAAGAGGCCCAGGCGACUGUUUACCAAAAACACAGGUCUCCGCUAAGUCGCAAGACGAUGUAUGGGGGCUGACGCCUGCCCAGUGCCGGAAGGUUAAGGAAGCUGGUCAGCGCAAGCGAAGCUAGCGACUGAAGCCCCGGUGAACGGCGGCCGUAACUAUAACGGUCCUAAGGUAGCGAAAUUCCUUGUCGGGUAAGUUCCGACCCGCACGAAAGGCGUAACGAUCUGGGCGCUGUCUCGGAGAGAGGCUCGGCGAAAUAGAAUUGUCUGUGAAGAUGCGGACUACGUGCACCCGGACAGAAAGACCCUAUGAAGCUUUACUGUAGCUUGGUAUUGUGCCCGGGCUCGCAAUGCGCAGGAUAGGUGGGAGGCUUUGAUCAUCGGCUUGCGGGUCGAUGUGAGCCAACGGUGAGAUACCACUCUUUGCGAGCUAGGGUUCUAACGGCCACCCGUCAUCCGGGGGCCGGACAGUACCUGGUGGGCAGUUUGACUGGGGCGGUCGCCUCCUAAAAGGUAACGGAGGCGCGCAAAGGUUUGCUCAGGCUGGUUGGAAAUCAGCCGACGAGUGUAAAAGCAGAAGCAAGCUUGACUGUGAGACCAACAAGUCGAACAGGGAGGAAACUCGGCUUUAGUGAUCCGACGGUUCUGAGUGGAAGGGCCGUCGCUCAACGGAUAAAAGUUACUCUAAGGAUAACAGGCUGAUCUCCCCCAAGAGUUCACAUCGACGGGGAGGUUUGGCACCUCGAUGUCGGCUCAUCGCAACCUGGGGCUGAAGUCGGUCCCAAGGGUUGGGCUGUUCGCCCCAUUAAAGCGGUACGCGAGCUGGGUUCAGAACGUCGUGAGACAGUUCGGUCCAUAUCCGGUGCACGCGCAGGAAUGUUGAGAGGAUUUCUCCCUAGUACGAGAGGACCGGGAGGAACGCACCUCUGGUGUACCAGUUAUCGUGCCAACGGUAAACGCUGGGUAGCCAUGUGCGGAGUGGAUAACCGCUGAAAGCAUCUAAGUGGGAAGCCCACCUCAAGAUGAGUAUUCCCAUGGCGUAAGCCAGUAAGGUCACGGGAAGAACACCCGUUGAUAGGCUCUAUGUGGAAGCGCAGUAAUGCGUGAAGCAGAGGAGUACUAAUAGACCGAGGGCUUGACC